rnacentral:rRNA from 1 species
UCGACCAUACCACGUUGGAAUCAGCGGUUCUCGUCUGAUUACCGAGGUUAAACAACGUCGAGCCCGGUUAGUACCAGUACGGGUGAGUGGCUGGGAAUACCGAGGGUUUGCGGCCGUUU